rnacentral:rRNA from 1 species
CCUACGGGAGGCUGCAGUCGAGAAUCAUUCACAAUGGGGGAAACCCUGAUGGUGCGACGCCGCGUGGGGGAAUGAAGGUCUUCGGAUUGUAAACCCCUGUCAUGUGGGAGCAAAUUAAAAAGAUAGUACCACAAGAGGAAGAGACGGCUAACUCUGUGCCAGCCGCCGCGGUAAUACAGAGGUCGCAAGCGUUGUUCGGAAUCACUGGGCGUAAGGGGUGCGUAGGCUGUUUCGUAAGUCGUGUGUGAAAGGCGCGGGCUCAACCCGCGGACGGCACAUGAGACUGGGAGACUAGAGUGAAGGAGGGGGAAGCGGAAUUCUCGGUGUAGCAGUGAAAUGCGUAGAUAUAGGGAAGAACACUCGUGGCGAAGGCGGGUUCCUGGACAUUAACUGACGCUGAGGUACGAAGGCCAGGGGAGCGAAAGGGAUUAGAUACCCUAGUAGUC